AACGAACGCUGGCGGCGUGCCUAACACAUGCAAGUCGAACGGGAUUAGGGGCUUGCUCCUAAUCUAGUGGCGCACGGGUGAGUAACGCGUAGACAAUCUGCCUGAUGAUCCGGGAUAACACUUCGAAAGAGGUGCUAAUACCGGAUAAGCCCACGGGUUCUCUGGAAUCUGCGGGACAAGGGGGGGACCUCCGGGCCUUCUGUCAUCAGAUGAGCCUGCGUACCAUUAGCUAGUUGGUAGGGUAAAGGCCGACAAAGGCGACGAUGGUUAGCGUGUCUGAGAGGAUGAUCAGCCACACGGGAACUGAGACACGGUCCAGACUCCUACGGGAGGCAGAAGUGGGGAAUUUUGCGCAAUGGGCGAAAGCCUGACGCAGCAACGCCGCGUGAGUGAUGAAGGCUUUCGGGUCGUAAAGCUCUGUCAAUGGGAAAGAAGUGUACGAGGGCUAAUAUCCUUUGUACUUGACGGUACCCAUAAAGGAAGCACCGGCUAACUCCGUGCCAGCAGCCGCCGCCGUAA
rnacentral:rRNA from 1 species